CCUACGGGAGGCAGCAGUGAGGAAUAUUGGUCAAUGGGCUUACGCCUGAACCAGCCAAGUCGCGUGAGGGAAGACUGCCCUAUGGGUUGUAAACCUCUUUUGUCAGGGAGCAACGCCGGCUACGUGUAGCCGGACUGAGAGUACCUGAAGAAAAAGCAUCGGCUAACUCCGUGCCAGCAGCCGCGGUAAUACGGAGGAUGCGAGCGUUAUCCGGAUUGAUUGGGUGUAAAGGGUGCGUAGGCGGAAUGCCAAGUCAGCGGUAAAAUCGCGGGGCUCAACCUCGCUCCGCCGUUGACACUGGCGUUCUUGAGUGGGCGAGAAGUAUGCGGAAUGCGUGGUGGAGCGGUGAAAUGCAUAGAUAUCACGCAGAACUCCGAUUGCGAAGGCAGCAUACCGGCGCCCAACUGACGCUGAAGCACGAAAGCGUGGGUAUCGAACAGGAUUAGAUACCCUAGUAGUC
rnacentral:rRNA from 1 species